UACGUAGGGUGCAAGCGUUUGUCCGGAAUUAUUGGGCGUAAAGAGCUCGUAGGCGGUCUGUCACGUCGGCUGUGAAAACCCGAGGCUCAACCUCGGGCCUGCAGUCGAUACGGGCAAACUAGAGUACUGCAGGGGAGACUGGAAUUCCUGGUGUAGCGGUGAAAUGCGCAGAUAUCAGGAGGAACACCGGUGGCGAAGGCGGGUCUCUGGGCAGUAACUGACGCUGAGGAGCGAAAGCGUGGGGAGCGAACAGG
rnacentral:rRNA from 1 species